rnacentral:rRNA from 1 species
UACAGAGGUCUCAAGCGUUGUUCGGAUUCAUUGGGCGUAAAGGGUGCGUAGGUGGGUUGGUAAGUCAGUGGUGAAAUCUCCGUGCUUAACAUGGAAACUGCCAUUGAUACUACUGAUCUUGAAUUUUCAGGAGGUAAGCGGAAUAUGUCAUGUAGCGGUGAAAUGCUUAGAUAUGACAUAGAACACCAAUUGCGAAGGCAGCUUACUACAGGAAUAUUGACACUGAUGCACGAAAGCGUGGGGAUCAAACAGG